GCACUUGUAUCCCAGCAGCACCAGCCUCCGUCUGCCUUCGUGUGGCGCAGCACCCGGCCCUCGAGUCCUGUCUGGGACCGCAGUCGCCUGCCCUCCCUCCAUCCCAGUCCCCUCGUCAUGCGGCCUGUGUCACCCAGACUCCCUGGAAACCUCAGGACGAAUUGCUGAGGGUCCCUGACGCACUCGGCUGUUCUCCACAAGCCCAGACAGCGGCUGUCAUCAGGAGGCAACGGGAAGCUGGCGCAGGAGGCUGCCAUCCUGCAGGUGCACCUGGUGGCCGUCUGCUUCUUUUCCUCUUGAUUCUAGAACUGAGGUGAUGAUCAUUUACUUCAUAACUCGACAAAUACCUGGAAUCCCUGAUCUAACUGAAGAACGACAGCAUUACAAAUAAUCUACAUGCUCCUCUCCGCUACGUUCAUCAACUAAAAAAGCACAUCCUAUUCUGUUAGAGAUGGGACCUCCGUGGUGUCGUGGAAAGUGAAAUGAAAGGAACUAGAUAAACUCACCUGAGUCUCCAACUUGUGUUAUUUACUUAGAGGCAAAUAUAACCCACUUAUCUGAC